UACGGGGGGGGUAAGCGUUGUUCGGAACUACUGGGCGUAAAGGGCUCGUAGGCGGCCAACUAAGUCAUACGUGAAAUCCCUCAGCUUAACUGGGGAACUGCGUGUGAUACUGGAUGGCUUGGAUUUGGGAGAGGGAUGCGGAAUUCCAGGUGUAGCGGUGAAAUGCGUAGAUAUCUGGAGGAGCACCGGUGGCGAAGGCGGGUCUCUGGGCCGAUAUCGACGCUGAGGAGCGAAAGCGUGGGGAGCGAACAGG
rnacentral:rRNA from 1 species